rnacentral:tRNA from 1 species
CACUAGGAAGCUAAUUAUUGGAUAAGCAUUGGCCUUUUAAGCCAAAGUUUGGUGCCUACCGACCACCUCUAGUGA